GGAGAUGGCAAGCGCCCUGGUCGACACGGCCUUACGGCCCCCCUCACCGCCGCACCGGAGGAGCGUCACAGCUGCCAGGGCUGGACCGGACCUCGCAGAUCAUCGGCCCAGGCCCCCCGCGCCGGGGGCAGGGUGACGUGCCACAGACAAAAAGCCAACCCUGCGUCUAUGCACUUCAACCUUAUUCCGAGGGCUCAGGUUGCACCUAGGAGAUCCAGCCCCUGCCAGCAAAACGUCACCCUGAAGCCCUUCUGGAAACAACAAUGAGUGAUCUGUCUGCAGAGAUUUGUGCCCUUUCAAAGAUUCUUUGGAUGAGAGCUGAUGUGUAAAACUUCAGACUUCACCUAAUUUUCAGUCAUCCAACAUGUUGAUUGUCUUAGUCUUAAAUCUAUAAAGAUGGGUAAAAUUAUCAAGCAACUUUGACUUCCCCUACCCCUGAAUAUAAGAGCAGUAGCACAGCACCUUUGAGGCUGGCUCAACUGAAAAGUGCUGUGUAAUAUCUGGUUCUUAACAUUAUUUUUGUCAUCUUGGCAGAGAGGGCAGAACUGACCCAAACAACUUCACCCCCUGUAUCCAGGUAAUGGCCUGUGAAAGGCCCAUAAGAGGAAAAGACAAGGCAACCAGGUGAUUAAUGGAGGAGAUGAAAGGCUUUUUCAGUUUCCUGAACAGGAUGCUCAAUUACAGAUGGACACUGCACUAAACGUGAAAAGCCCUGAGGGAGUGAACACACCAUAAUUAAUCAAGGUGGACCUGCAGUGCAGGAGCUAGGGGGGUUUCUCGCAGUCACUCCUGCAACAUGAGAACAUCAGUUUGUUCCUAGACAGUGAUGCAUUCUAGUGAAUAUUGGGCCACAGAAGGGAGGUGAUAUAUGUUGAAUUUCAGCACAUUUGUGAUGAAUGCACCUAAGCCGUUUGUUCAGAGGUGGUCACAUAUGUUGUUAGCAAUAAAAGACUGGAUGACACACCAUGAUUUUGCUUUUGAUAGAGCACUACAGGGAUUUUUUUAAUUGGGUCCUACUGAAGUCCCCCUCCUUUUGCCUAGAGAAAUAAGGAGCUUCACCAAGCUGGGAGGAAAAAAAAAGCAGUCAGCGUAAAUGGGAAAAUGAGAAUUCAUUGGAAUUGCAAGAAUCAGAACAGCCCUACAGACAUGAGACAAUCCUGUUUCAUGUUUUACAUCUUCACUGACUGCCUCCCUUGCAUGCAUACCAGCCUCUGGCUUCUUUACUGUUCAUUCCAUCCAGGAGGAGCACACACCAACUGCAGAUGCUUCCUCAGACUGAAAAAGGGUAUU